UUCAUCGGGCGCUCCCUGUAAGCAAGACAAGCACCCACCUGGGGUCCGAGCAGGGGUCCCGCUCGCGGUCGGGGUUGUCCGGCCCCUCCCGGCUUCUCACCUGCGCACCGCACGGUCCAGCCCUGGCGGCUGCUGGGGAUCCCUCCGAGCGCCCCCUCAGGCGUCUUCCUGCCACCGGGCGGGGGAGCUCUUUACGGGGAAACAGUUUGGGGCCCCACCACCCUUGGCGCCGCCGUUAGGAGGGUGUGAACGUAUCUAUUUUCAAAGAUACCCGAGCCCGUCACCGCCUGCAGCAGGAAGAUCUUUUUAUACAGAAACAACCAGCUAUGCCUUGGGAUCAAAAUCCAGAACAAUCAAAUGGAAAUUACAGUGAAAAUGAACAAAAGGGAAAGCAGAAAUGGAGAGAAGGAGGAGGAGAAGCAGGUGGAAAGAGAGAGCGAGAAAAAGAAGAGGAAAAUGAAAAGGAGCUGGAAGAUGAACAGGAAAAAAAAGGGAAAAGAGAAAAGAAACAAUGUUCCAAGGGAAGAUUAGUCAGUAAAUCCCUCAUGGACGCUUUCUGGGCAAAGUUUAAGUUAAACAGGUGCCCCACAAUACAAGAGAGUCUAUUACUCUCAUUUGAAUUUGGCAUGACACAUAAACAGAUGGAAGCUCUAUGAGUUGCCAAGGCUGGUCUCGAACUCCUGUCCUCAAAGGAUCCUCCCACCGUGGCCUCCAGAAGUGCUGUGAUUCCUCGCAUGAGCCAUUGUGCCUAAGAUGUUUUUUCUUUUUUCUUUUUUGAAACAGAGUCUCACUGUGCUGCACAGGCUGGAGUACAGUGGCUAGAUCUCAACUUACUGCAACUGCCACCUCCCGAGUACAAGCAAUUCUCCUGCCUCAGCUUCCUGACUCUGGCUGAGACAUUUUAUAUGACACCAUUCUCAUCAAUAAAUGGAGUUCUGAAAGGAUAAACAAGAAAAUAUUAACAAUCAUUAAUUCCAUGGAGUAGAACUAAAUGAAGGAGCACAAAGAAGUUCCUAUAUAUCCUAUUUUUACACUACUGUGGUUUUAAAGUUUUUAUAAUGGACAUUGAUUUUAUUUCAGAAAAAAGUCAAUAAAUAAAUUACCAACCUC